AAGAAAAAGUAAACAACGUUUCAUGGGUACAUCAAAAAAAACAUGAGUCGGACGCCUGCCUACCUGCUCGCCCGUCCCCACGCCCCAAUCCCUUUUUUGGCCCAAUCGAAAUUGAUGGCGGCCGCCGCACCGCUCGCCACCGCCGCUGAUGCCAACCUCCCGCAAGUCGCUGUUGUUUCCUCCUAUGGCGCGCCGCUCCCGACCAAUCCGGCGAGGCCUGCGUGCCACCUCCUGACUCUUCCCUUCCCAGGUCUGGAGCACAAGCCUCCUUUCCCUCCACCCCAAUCUGGCAGUAGCGGCAGGAGCUAGGCCACCGGCGACGAGGCUAAUUUGUCCGGCAGUAGCUGUUGUUAUUCCACAACCAAUUAUACUGCUACUCCAUCCCAUGGACUGGCCUGACCGUUGCUGGUAGGAGGGAGGCGUGCGGUCAUGACCCUGGCGCGCUGGGCCGGGGUCUAACUGGGCGGGCGUGUGUUGUCGCUGCCAGGCCACUAUACGGGCGUCGCAGGGCGUGUUGCAGCUUCAGGAUUAUGCUACGAGCUCCUGGGAUGUGCUCAUGCAUGCUUGGUUGGAACCUUGUCUUUUUGGUCAAUGGAUGAAUCAAUGGCGUGUCAGGACUAACUAGGUCAUACGUGUACCUCACUAUCUACGGGUAGCUCUCUCGUCGUAUCUGCACAACAUGAGAACAAUUUGAUCAAUGAAGAUGGGUUUCUUUCCUACCGGUGCCAUUGUAUGUGCAUGCACGCCUCAACUAUCUUCUUUCCUGUUUACUGUCAGCAGGGGAACUAUUUGUGGAUGUAAUAUGCAGCUAAAGGUAUUCCAGCAUGAGCUUGCAUGCGCAACAUCAGUGAUUAAAGUAAAGGCUUCAGGACUUGAGGUAAAGUACGCCCAUAGCUCAACCUGAUUCUCUUAGUACAGAACUACAGAUAACCUGAUUCUCUCAGUACAGAUAACUUGAUUAUUAUCUUUCCAUCGAGCAACAAUGGAGUAGCACUACUCACAACCAACUGCAGAAAUCCCAUGUGCCAAAAAUCCCGUGUGCCAAAAACCUCGUUGCAACUGGAGAUCCGCAUGCGCUGCUGGACAUGCUAUGCUACUCGAUUUGACCCAAUCUACUUCAGCCGUGACUCCGUGAUUGAUUUUAGUGGUGCACUGGGAGGAGAGAAACAAAGAGAGCAAAAGCACAAUAAGAAAAGCGAUGUUAUGAGGAAAACAGAAAGGAAAUAAACAAAAAAAUUGAUCCCCUGAGUAUGUAUAUGAGAGAUAUAUGUACGUCUGGGUUGUGCUGCUGACUCAGGAGAAGUUCAGUGAUCUAGGUCAAGGUGAUUUAUAGUUGAUAAAUUUGGUACCCAAAGCACCGACAUGAUCGGCGCACUGGCUGUCCAGAUUGCCAUAGAACAUGUGCAUUAAAGUUACUCCAAUUGCAGUGCACGACUCUUUGAGCAAAACCAUAA